rnacentral:rRNA from 1 species
AUUGAACGCUGGCGGCAGGCUUAACACAUGCAAGUCGAACGGUAGCACAGAGAGCUUGCUCUCGGGUGACGAGUGGCGGACGGGUGAGUAACGUCUGGGAAACUGCCCGAUGGAGGGGGAUAACUACUGGAAACGGUAGCUAAUACCGCAUAACGUCGCAAGACCAAAGUGGGGGACCUUCGGGCCUCACACCAUCGGAUGUGCCCAGAUGGGAUUAGCUAGUAGGUGGGGUAAUGGCUCACCUAGGCGACGAUCACUAGCUGGUCUGAGAGGAUGACCAGCCAGACGGGAACUGAGACACUGUCCAGACUCCUACGGGAGGCAGCAGUGGGGAAUAUUGCACAAUGUGCGCAAGCCUGAUGCAGCCAUGCCGCGUGUAUGAAGAAGGCCUUCGGGUUGUAAAGUACUUUCAGCGGGGAGGAAGGCGGUGAAGUUAAUAGCUUCACCGAUUGACGUUACCCGCAGAAGAAGCACCGGCUAACUCCGUGCCAGCAGCCGCGGUAA